CAAAUCUCCUGGUUUUUUAUUUGAAUGAGGGGAAUUGGCCACGCCUCCUUCCUUGGAGCGGAGGAGGAUGUCUGAGGUGGUGGCGCUGCGCCUUUCGUUGCAGUGUGAGGUGCGUUUUGAGUGGAGCUUCGCUCAACCAGGGAGUAGCACUUUGUGAGCGCCCUCUAUGAGCCUUAGGAAAGAAGGAAGGAAAUCCAGGAAAUAGGGAAAGCCAGUUACCAUGUCAAGAGGACAUUCAAUUAAUACUAUGGAGAGGUCCACACUGCAAAUAACUGAACAAAGCCUUCUCCCAAGAGCCAGCAACGAACUGAGACUUUCUGCCAAUUACCAUGAGAAGGAGCCAUCUUUGAAGCAAAUCCUGUAACCCUGGCCAAGCAUUCAGAUGACUGCAGCUCUAGCAAAUGUCUCAACUACAAGUUCAUUAGAGACCCUGAGACAGAACCACCCAGCUAAGCUGCUCCUGAAUUUCUAACUCACAGAAACUGGAUGAUACAUAUUUGUUGAGACAAUAAAUGUAAAUUGCAACACA